UGAGAACCAUGUGACAGUUCAGUGCCUGCCUGGGCUGUCUGAGAGCUCUCUGUGCAUUGGAAUCUACAUAAAGAAUGCAUUGGAGAUCCAGCAGUAAACCUCAGGAAGCUCUCUCGAGCAGUUGAAAGCAAAUCCUCAGAUCAGUGUCCCUACGUGAAUAAGAUAAGCUACCCUGUUCCAUAAUUGUCUCCUUUGUGACGUGGCAGCCAUGGAAGUGGAUCCAAAGGCCUCUUCUCCACAGAAGCACGGCGUGAAGGGACGUUCCAGAUCAACAGAAGAGAUCCAACAGGCAAAGAAGGCAUUUCACACAACACAGAAGUCUCUUCCGAGCACAGGAGAAGAAGCUAACGUUCAGGAGCCUGGAAACUCCACAGAGGAGGCUUCUUCAAAGGAGCAAACAUGUAAUGAUCAACCAUCCCAUUGACGAAAGGAACGCUUGCCAGGAUUUCAGAAACGGCAUUUCUUGUCAUACAAUUCACUCAUUCUCUUUCGGUGUUUGUGCCUUCAUGUGGAUAUUACUGUGUGUAAGUUUGUAUGUAUAUAAAUGUAUAAACGUGGAUCAUCCUACAAGCUUUAUGAGAUCUCUCUUCCUGCUAUAGGCAGAAAACACAAAUCAUUAAAAAAAAGUAUUUGUAGCAGCUGAA